CUUCACUCACUUUCUUCUCUCGGUCCGAGCCGCCGCCCUUCACGCGCUGGAGCACCGCGGCUCGAGGCCCGACCGCGUCCGCCGCUGCAACGAGCUUGCGUCGCGCUCCAUCCUCAUGGUCUGCGCCAACCCGACUGCUCUACGCGCCGACUCGGGGCCACGGCCACUGGCCAUGUGAGGCGCUGGCGCAUGGUCCCUGGGCGCCGCCGCAGCCGCAUACCCCGUGGGCGCCGGCCGCUCGCGCGUGGGCAACGGCCGCUAGACACAAGCACGCGUGCCAGGCAUCUGCGUCCUAUGGGGCGGUCCCUCUGUACAACGGCGGCCCUGGCCGCCGGCCGCUUCGUCGAGUGCUGUGCGCAGGUGAGAUCUGCCUCCCUUCCGUAAGAUUCAGAAAUGGGACAUAUGGAGCCGUCGAACUCUUGAUUCGUCAUAUGGGUAAAGCUCUCUCUCUCUCCAUAUCUCUCUCCGAUUUGUUUACUGAUGUCCUCCAAAUCGAUUUGGUUUCAGACCUAGGGAGCGCCGAUGCGUGUGGCUAGCUUUUCUAGCGCCAAGGUAAGGGCAUGUGAAAGCUACUCGUUGGCCAAAGGAUUAUGAGGGAAUGGACUAAUGUACAAAUGGUUUUGGAGGAGGGAAGUGCUGUUCUGGGUUUGCGGUUACCGACAAAGGGAAGCAACGCCUUCUAUAGGCUUUAGGUUAGGUGAUUUAAAGGGUGAAGUGGCAAUUAGAAGAGAAGAGAAGCCUCGCAGAGAAGAAAUAAUCAUGGCUAGCCAAAUAUGCUGCCACAACACUCUCAUCAAAACUGAUAGGUGGUGAAAAAGAAUUAUUUGCUUCCUUAGUUGCUGCUGCUGGUUCAUACUCUUGAUGAAACCUAUCUUUUGUUGUUUCUGGUCCAUUUUGUUGUCUUUGAUCCUGCAAUGUUAUAUUGCUAGUUCUGAUACAUGGAAAAAAUUGUAUGUGAUCCAUUAUUCUGGUGUAGUGAUGCUGGGAUGCUAUUGAUAUGAGGUUAUAAUUUGGGCUGUAAUUGAUUAUUGUGACUUCUGGGCUGGAA